AGGCCAACCGCAUUUUUCAAAAGUUUAUAGCGCUGGACGGCAUUAGAGUCGGAAAUAAAGGGUUGAUUUGAAAAGUGAAGGUUUCCGAAAGAAGCUGGAGAAAAUGGAGUCGAACUCGCAACUUGGGGUUCGCCAAGACAAGCUGGAUGGGCGGACGAUCAAUAACUUGAUAUGGAACAAAGCGUAUUACUUAUGCCCUCGCUGCCGCUAUCUGCCAAAGAGCGCCAUCUACGGGCUACCGAUUGGGUGUUGUUACCCCGUCCCACCACAGGACCCUGAAGCAAGCCCUGGCAGCCUGGGGAAGCCACCACAAGGAAAACGACGAUGAUAACUGCAACGAUGGAGCUGAACCUAUGUAGGAGGACAUAAUGAAAACUAAAUGAAAUGAAUAAAGGUCUGAAAUGUACAUUAACGAAUGAAUAAAUGUAUCAAAUGCGUUAUACACUAGGCAAAUAACACUUUGUUUCAUAUGUUUUCAUUUGCCCAGGGAGGUUUUCUUAUGAAAAUCCCUUUUUUAAUUAAGUGUCGCUCUCACAGGCUCCAGAACCGCAUGUUGUUAUUAAUAAAAUAGUAUUAACAAUAAGUUUCAUAUCUAGCUUUUGACAUUAACUACAAAUGAAAAAGAACGUAAGCC
ensembl:lncRNA